rnacentral:lncRNA from 1 species
UGAUUCUCUAUUUUUGAUGAUUUGAUGCAUGACUAAUUUAAUUGACAAUAUUUCCAUGUUUCAUUCUUUUAUCUCUACAUUUACUCCUGCCUGCUUAUUUCAUUAUCAGUGCCAUUUCAUCUUCCCAGUGAUUAAUAUAAUUUACCUAAGCAUAUGUAUACAUAACUACUUCUUGCUGUGUAUAUGAGGAUUUGAUCAUAAGGAAAUAUCUUUAAAGAUUUAUGUUUGGUAUAGAAAAACCUACCAGGGAGAAUAGCAAAAGACAAGGUUGAUUUCAUCUCUAUCCUCAUGCUUAAUUGCCUGUAUUUUUAAAACUACAAAUGCGGCUUAUAUCUAUGAUAUUUUCCCUUCACAAUUGACAUGCCAUCUUGUGGUAAUGUGGGAAUAAUCUUCUUUGGUUAUGCAUGUUGUUAGAUUAUUUUGUGCAACUCCCUUAUCCUAUAUAGAAGACACAUGUUUACAGAAGACAUCUCUUCCUCUGAAUCAUUUAUAUUUUCUAAUGUCAUUUUGCAAUGCUUUCAGUGUUAGCUUAAUGAUUAAUAUUUUAGAUUCAUAAAUUUGGGUUGGACACACCACUAUUAGUUGUUCUUUGCAUUUUGAAUAGUGGUGCAAUCCUAUAAUUUUCUCUGUCUGGUGCAGAAUGAAGCUACUUUCCUGAUGGUGACAGCUAUAAGUUUCUAUAGUUUAAAGAAAUAUAUAUACAUAUAUAUGUGUGUAUGUGUAUGUGUAUGUAUAUGUAUGUAUGUAUAUAUAUAUACUGAGUCAGGAAACUGGCUGAGCUAAGUUCUCCUCUAGAUUCCAUUAUUUCUGCAGCCACAGGUUUUGGCUUAGGUUUUAUUAUUGAACAUGAUUCUCUCCUUGAUGAUUUAAUAAGUAUCAAUAAAUCACCAGAGACAUCAUAAUUUCUUCAUUUGUGGUUUUAUAAUGCCCAGGCAUCAUGGUAUGAGGAAGGAGAGACCUGGGUGGAAAUGGGGGGGGCAGGGAGGGGAAGAGAGGAACAUGAUUAGUUAUUAGGGGGGGACAUGAAUGAAAGCAGACAACUUUGGCAGGUAGGAGGUGGGGGACGCUUUUUAAUGUACCAGAGACCUAGGAAGUGAUAGACUCUCGGGUCUCAAAGGGAGGGUUAGAUAAAAUAACAUACAGGAGACAGAAAGAAAUGUAGAGUCCCCUCUAGUAAAAGAUAGAACAUCAAGUGGAGGGAGAGAGUUGCUAUUCCAUAGUCUAAAACUCUGACCCAGAAUUAUUCCUGUAUAAAGAAAUGCAGGGAUAAAAAUGGAGAAUGACUGAGGGAAAGAAGGUCCUGUGACAGACCCAAAUUUGGAUCCAGCUCAAGGGGAGGCCCAAGGCCUGACACUAUUACUGAUACUUUGGUUUUCUUACAAACAGGAGCCUAGCAUGUCUGCCUUCAGAAAGCCCCAAAAAAGCCGCUGAAAGAGUCAGAUGAAUAUAUUUCCACCCAAGCAAUGGACAGAAGAUAGUGACCCCAGUGGUUGACUGUGCCAAAGCUGGAAGAAGCUGAUGAGAAGGGCAACCUUAUAGGAAGACAAGCAGUUUCAACUUACUUUGAUCCCUGUGGUCUCUCAGACAUUGUGCCACCAAUUAGGAAGCAUACCAGGUUGUAGUCUUGCUGUCCUAUUCACUGAGUUCUCCAACUCAUCCUUGAAACCACGCCUCCUCUGAGCUUCAUGAGAAACUCACAGUACAGAGGCAGAGCACCACAUUCAGCUGAGAUCCAAGAGUCUUGAGGAGAGAAGUUUAAUGAAGAUCCAUUUAACAUCUACAGAUGCACAGUCUCUCACUAUCUCUACACAGGGCACUUGAGAAUGCCUUAGAUAAUUCUUGUGAAAGAGGAGACAGCCUUGUUGAGAACUGAGCACUGAAUUGAAUUAUGGGUAGAACAGUAUGUUGGUAGGAAUCAUUUUAUUUCAGUUUCCCUAUAGGAAAAUAGCAGUAGUAGGUUUUUUUUUUUCUUUUCUAUAACCCAAUUCUAUCUAAACUCAGAUUCAUGGGCACUUGGAUGUAUAAGGUAUGAAUUUAUCACAUAGACUUAGCCCUAAAAUCUAAAACAAACAAAACAAAAACAAAUAAACAAAUAAAACCCCCACAAACUACUAGGUCAGUUUAACAUUGACUAAGUAUUGUGCCAGUGUACCCUGAAUAAAGUUCACUAAUUUACAAUGCACAUUUUGUGGCUGAUGAUAUUCAGGAAUUUUUUCAUCUUCAGUUACAUGUAGUGUGAUAUGUAAGAAUAUCUUCAGCAUUAGAGUAUUAUCAUCUGGUUGCUGUUUGAAGAGAAUAAAUCAUAGCCUUUCAAAUGAUUUGUGAAUUUCAUGUGCGGGGCUUUAGUAGUGCUUUGACCAAUGACUACAUAAAAUUUAAAUUCUUUUUGUCCCUGGAGUAAUUAUUCAGUGGCAAAA